rnacentral:lncRNA from 1 species
GGAGGAGGCAGUGUCUAACCCCUUCCCUUUCUCUCUCCAGUUUUAUGAGACCCCACUUCAGUCCCUCUGUGGUGAGUGCGAUCCUCCAUAGAACAACAGAGGCAGUUCUGGGGAGCGCAGAGGAGGACAAAGAGGUAUGUCCUCUGCUUUAAGUUCUCUUUGCACAGCUCUUUCUUCUUCCCACACUCUUACAAAAUUUAACCCAGCAGCACUCAACCUCUCUUCUCUCUUUUCCCACAGGAACUGAAGAGGCCAUUCCAGAGCCAGCUGGGGGGUCUCCUCCUAGAAGCCCCCAAUACUAGCACCCUUCUCCAGUUGCUUACCGACCUCCGAUAUUACGCCCUUUUGGGGAGUGAAGACCAAAGGAAAUUAGCGGCCAGCAGUAUAUCCCUGCUGCUGGCCCUUUCACGAAGAUUCCCGAACCUCAGAGUAAGUAUUUUGCCUCCCUGUAUUCAGUUCUUUGGUUGUUUCCAUCCUUCCUGGGUGGGGCUGCUUCUCUUACACCCAUCCAGGGUGGGGUUCAUAGUGUCAAUGGACUCAGAUUUGUCUUUCCUCUGCAGAACACAGUAAUUCGGC